rnacentral:rRNA from 1 species
CCGACAGUGAAAUACCGCAACUUUCGACGUCGUUUUACUUACUCGGUGGAGCGGAGAGAGGCUCGCCUCGCUUCUGGCGUUAAGCCGCUUCGUGCGGCGAUCCGCGUCGGGGACACUGUCAGGUGGGGAGUUUGGCUGGGGCGGCACGUCUGUUAAAAAAUAACGCAGGCGCCCGAUUUUGAGCUCAAUGAGAACAGAAAUCUCAUGUGGACCGAAAGGGGAAAAGCUCGGUUGAUUUUGAUUUUCAGUACGAAUACAAACCGCGAAAGCGUGGCCUAUCGAUCCUUUAGUCUUUGGGAAUUUCAAGCUAGAGGUGUCAGAAAAGUUACCACAGGGAUAACUGGCUUGUGGCUGCCAAGCGUUCAUAGCGACGUAGCUUUUUGAUCCUUCGAUGUCGGCUCUUCCUAUCACUGCCUCGCAGCGGGGGCCAAAUGUAGGAUUGUUCACCCACCAACAGGGAACGUGAGCUGGGAUUAGACCGUCGUGAGACAGGUUAGUUUUACCCUACUGCUGCCAGUUUUUCGACGGUAAUUUGGUUCAGUACGAGAGGAACCACCAAUUCGCACCAUCGGUAUAGCCGCCGCCCGAUAGGGCGAUGCGGCGAAGCUGCCAUGCGCCGGAUUACAACUGAACGCCUCUAAGUUGGAAUCCAUGCCGGACGCGAAAAGCCUUCUACCGGGACGGGCGUUCCGCAGCGAGCACGCCCAGCUUCGGCCGGAGCCGCACUCGAUCGCAAGUCACGGGCCCGCCCCGAUGGAUCCCCUGCAGACGACUCGAAUGAGGAACGGGGUGCUGUACGCGGCAGAGUGGCCUUGUUGCCACGAUCCGCUGAGGCUCAGCCUUGGUUCCGAAGAUC